rnacentral:rRNA from 1 species
GACGUAGGGGGCCAGCGUUGUUCGGAAUUACUGGGCGUAAAGGGCUCGUAGGCGGCCAACUAAGUCGGAUGUGAAAUCCCCAGGCUCAACUUGGGGAACUGCAUCCGAUACUGGAUGGCUUGAAUUCGGGAGAGGGAUGCAGAAUUCCAGGUGUAGCGGUGAAAUGCGUAGAUAUCUGGAGGAAUACCGGUGGCGAAGGCGGCAUCCUGGACCGACAUUGACGCUGAGGAGCGAAAGCUAGGGGAGCAAACGGG